rnacentral:lncRNA from 1 species
GGUCUGCAGCUUCACUCUUGAAGUCAGCGAAACCGCAAACCCACCAGAAGGAAGAAACUCCGGACACAUCUGAACACCUGAAGGAACAAACCCCGGACACACCAUCUCUAAGAACUGUAACACUCACCGCCAGGGUCCGCGGCUUCAUUCUUGAAUCAGUGAGACCAAGAACCCACCAAUUCCAGACACAGAAGUUACUGAACCCCAACAUUUUGGUUUGGAGUACUCUCUUCAGAAGUGUUCAAGGUUCAAAUUGAGGUCUUCUGUUGUCAUGGAAUAACUUUCUCAACAAUGAGAAAGAGUGUGUUUUAUCCUGCAGCACGUCAGCUUCAAAGGGCUCUUACUUCAAGUGUCCAGCGCAUCAUUCUGGUAAAUUAAGAAAUCCUCGGCUUAAGAUCGUCUCUUUCAAUCACAUAUAAUGUGGGUAACUUCAUGACUAAACAUUAUAAACCAAGCCGUUUGUUUGCUUUGC